rnacentral:rRNA from 1 species
UGGGGUCGCGUCCUAUCAGCUUGACGGCGGGGUAACGGCCCACCGUGGCUUCGACGGGUAGCCGGCCUGAGAGGGCGACCGGCCACAUUGGGACUGAGAUACGGCCCAGACUCCUACGGGAGGCAGCAGUGGGGAAUAUUGCACAAUGGGCGCAAGCCUGAUGCAGCGACGCCGCGUGAGGGAUGGAGGCCUUCGGGUUGUAAACCUCUUUUAUCGGGGAGCAAGCGAGAGUGAGUUUACCCGUUGAAUAAGCACCGGCUAACUACGUGCCAGCAGCCGCGGUAAUACGUAGGGUGCAAGCGUUAUCCGGAAUUAUUGGGCGUAAAGGGCUCGUAGGCGGUUCGUCGCGUCCGGUGUGAAAGUCCAUCGCUUAACGGUGGAUCCGCGCCGGGUACGGGCGG